UAUUGACUGCCUUGUCUCGUUUGUAUAGAUUUAUUAAUCCAACACUUUAAUAACGGGAGCCCGAACUCUUCUUAUGGAUUGCAGACCUCCCGCUCCGGCGGAAGAAGGGAGCGCGAAGUAAGAAGGAGGGCACCCACCUGUCGCAAGACGGGUUCUUACUUUCUGUACGACGGCAAGGUGGUUACCUU
rnacentral:other from 1 species